rnacentral:misc_RNA from 1 species
AAGUCGUAACAAGGUCUCCGUUGGUGAACCAGCGGAGGGAUCAUUACCGAGUUUACAACUCCCAAACCCCUGUGAACAUACCUCUUGUUGCUUCGGCGGGAUCGCCCCCGGCGCCUCUGUGCCCGGGACCAGGCGCCCGCCGGAGGCCCCCAAACUCUUGUUUUUUUAGUGAUAUCCUCUGAGUCUCACAAACAAAUAAAUUAAAA